AUUGAACGCUGGCGGCAUGCCUUACACAUGCAAGUCGAACGGUAACAGGGAGCUUGCUCCGCUGACGAGUGGCGAACGGGUGAGUAAUGCGUCGGAACGUGCCGAGUAGUGGGGGAUAACGCAUCGAAAGGUGUGCUAAUACCGCAUACGUACUGAGGUAGAAAGUGGGGGACCUUCGGGCCUCACGCUAUUCGAGCGGCCGACGUCUGAUUAGCUAGUUGGUGAGGUAAAGGCUCACCAAGGCGACGAACAGUAGCGGGUCUGAGAGGAUGAUCCGCCACACUGGGACUGAGACACGGCCCAGACUCCUACGGGAGGCAGCAGUGGGGAAUUUUGGACAAUGGGCGCAAGCCUGAUCCAGCCAUGCCGCGUGUCUGAAGAAGGCCUUCGGGUUGUAAAGGACUUUUGUCCGGGAGCAAAUGCUGGUGGCUAACACCCACCGGAGCUGAGAGUACCGGAAGAAUAAGCACCGGCUAUCUACGUGCCAGCCGCCGCCGUAA
rnacentral:rRNA from 1 species